rnacentral:rRNA from 1 species
CUGGAGGUAUCAGAAGUGCGAAUGCUGACAUAAGUAACGAUAAAGCGGGUGAAAAGCCCGCUCGCCGGAAGACCAAGGGUUCCUGUCCAACGUUAAUCGGGGCAGGGUGAGUCGACCCCUAAGGCGAGGCCGAAAGGCGUAGUCGAUGGGAAACGGGUUAAUAUUCCCGUACUUGGUGUUACUGCGAAGGGGGGACGGAGAAGGCUAUGUUGGCCGGGCGACGGUUGUCCCGGUUUAAGCGUGUAGGUGUGUGUUCCAGGUAAAUCCGGUUCACUUUAACACUGAGGCGUGAUGACGAGGCACUACGGUGCUGAAGCAACAAAUGCCCUGCUUCCAGGAAAAGCCUCUAAGCAUCAGGUAACAUCAAAUCGUACCCCAAACCGACACAGGUGGUCAGGUAGAGAAUACCAAGGCGCUUGAGAGAACUCGGGUGAAGGAACUAGGCAAAAUGGUGCCGUAACUUCGGGAGAAGGCACGCUGACACGUAGGUGAAGUGAUUUA